rnacentral:rRNA from 1 species
GUAGGUGGCAAGCGUUGUCCGGAAUUAUUGGGCGUAGAGCGCGCGCAGGCGGUCCUUUAAGUCUGAUGUGAAAGCCCACGGCUCAACCGUGGAGGGUCAUUGGAAACUGGGGGACUUGAGUACAGAAGAGGAAAGCGGAAUUCCAAGUGUAGCGGUGAAAUGCGUAGAGAUUUGGAGGAACACCAGUGGCGAAGGCGGCUUUCUGGUCUGUAACUGACGCUGAGGCGCGAAAGCGUGGGGAGCAAACAGGGAUUAGAUACCCUGGUAGUCCACGCCGUAAACGAUGAGUGCUAAGUGUUAGGGGGUUUCCCGCCCCCUUAGUGCUGCAGCUAACGCAUUAAGCACUCCGCCUGGGGAGUACGGCCGCAAGGCUG